rnacentral:rRNA from 1 species
AUUGAACGCUGGCGGCAUGCCUUACACAUGCAAGUCGAACGGUAACAGGUCUUCGGAUGCUGACGAGUGGCGAACGGGUGAGUAAUACAUCGGAACGUGCCUAGUAGUGGGGGAUAACUACUCGAAAGAGUGGCUAAUACCGCAUGAGAUCUACGGAUGAAAGCAGGGGAUCGCAAGACCUUGUGCUACUAGAGCGGCCGAUGGCAGAUUAGGUAGUUGGUGGGAUAAAAGCUUACCAAGCCGACGAUCUGUAGCUGGUCUGAGAGGACGAUCAGCCACACUGGGACUGAGACACGGCCCAGACUCCUACGGGAGGCAGCAGUGGGGAAUGUUGGACAAUGAGCGCAAGCCUGAUCCAGCAAUGCCGCGUGCAGGAUGAAGGCCUUCGGGUUGUAAACUGCUUUUGUACGGAACGAAAAGCCCUGGGUUAAUACCCUGGGGUCAUGACGGUACCGUAAGAAUAAGCACCGGCUAACUACGUGCCAGCAGCCGCCGCCGUAA